rnacentral:rRNA from 1 species
UACAGAGGUCUCAAGCGUUGUUCGGAUUCAUUGGGCGUAAAGGGUGCGUAGGCGGCGCGGUAAGUCGGGUGUGAAAUCUCGGAGCUUAACUCCGAAACUGCAUUCGAUACUGCCGUGCUUGAGGACUGGAGAGGAGACUGGAAUUUACGGUGUAGCGGUGAAAUGCGUAGAUAUCGUAAGGAAGACCAGUGGCGAAGGCGAGUCCCUGGACAACUUCUGACGCUGAGGCACGAAAGCUAGGGGAGCAAACAGG